UUCCGGUUGAUCCUGCCGGAGGCCACUGCUAUUGGGAUCCGAUUAAGCCAUGCGAGUCGAGAGGGUUCGGCCCUCGGCAGACUGCUCAGUAACACGUGGAUAACCUAACCUUAGGUGGAAGAUAACCUCGGGAAACUGAGAAUAAUAUUCCAUAGAUCUAGGAUGCUGGAAUGCAUCUAGAUUGAAAGUUCCGACGCCUAAGGAUGGGUCUGCGGACUAUCAGGUUGUAGUCAGGGUAAAGACCUGACUAGCCUACGACGGAUAUGGGUUGUGAGAGCAAUAGCCCAGAGACGAUAUCUGAGACACGAUAUCGGGCCCUACGGGGCGCAGCAGGCGCGAAAUCUUCACAAUGUGCGAAAGCACGAUGAGGGGAUCCCAAGUGCUGGCACGUAAGUGUCAGCUGUUUCUUAGUCUAAAAAACUGAGAGAGGAAGGGCUGGGUAAGACGGGUGCCAGCCGCCGCGGUAAUACCUGCAGCUCAAGUGGUGACCGCUAUUAUUGGGCCUAAAACGUUCGUAGCCGGCUGAGUAAAUGCUUGGGUAAAUCGUGCCGCUUAACGGUACGAAUUCCGGGUAGACUGCUCAGCUUGAGACCGGGAGAAGCUAGAGGUACUCCUGGGGUAGAGGUGAAAUUCUGUAAUCCUGGGGGGACCACCAGUGGCGAAGGCGUCUAGCUAGAACGGGUCUGACGGUGAGGGACGAAACCCUGGGGCGCAAACCGGAUUAGAUACCCGGGUAGUCCAGGGCGCAAACGCUGCUUGCUUGAUGUUAGCUGGGCUCCGGGCUCAGCUAGUGUCGGAGAGAAGUUGUUAAGCAAGCUGCCUGGGAAGUACGGUCGCAAGACUGAAACUUAAAGGAAUUGGCGGGGGAGCACAGCAACGGGUGGAGCGUGCGGUUUAAUUGGACUCAACGCCGGU
rnacentral:rRNA from 1 species